CCUACGGUCGGCAGCAGUGAGGAAUAUUGGUCAAUGGGCGAGAGCCUGAACCAGCCAAGUCGCGUGAGGGAAGACGGUCCUAUGGAUUGUAAACCUCUUUUGCCGGGGAGCAAAACGCGGUACGUGUACCGCCUCGAGAGUACCCGAAGAAAAAGCAUCGGCUAACUCCGUGCCAGCAGCCGCGGUAAUACGGAGGAUGCGAGCGUUAUCCGGAUUUAUUGGGUUUAAAGGGGGCGCAGGCGGCGUGUUCAGUCAGCGGUAAAAUUUCGGGGCUCAACCCCGACAAGCCGUUGAAACUGGCGUGCUGGAGGGGGAGAGAAGUAUGCGGAAUGCGCGGUGUAGCGGUGAAAUGCAUAGAUAUCACGCAGAACUCCGAUUGCGAAGGCAGCAUACCGGCGCCAAACUGACGCUCAGGCACGAAAGCGUGGGUAUCGAACAGGAUUAGAUACCCGUGUAGUC
rnacentral:rRNA from 1 species